UGACGGUACCUGACUAAAAGCCCCGGCUAACUACGUGCCAGCAGCCGCGGUAAUACGUAGGGGGCAAGCGUUAUCCGGAUUUACUGGGUGUAAAGGGAGCGUAGACGGUCUGGCAAGUCUGAUGUGAAAUGCGGGGGCUCAACCCCUGGACUGCAUUGGAAACUGUCUGACUGGAGUGCCGGAGAGGUAAGCGGAAUUCCUAGUGUAGCGGUGAAAUGCGUAGAUAUUAGGAGGAACACCAGUGGCGAAGGCGGCUUACUGGACGGUAACUGACGUUGAGGCUCGAAAGCGUGGGGAGCGAACAGGAUUAGAUACCCUG
rnacentral:rRNA from 1 species